rnacentral:rRNA from 1 species
GACGUAGGGCGCGAGCGUUGUCCGGAUUUAUUGGGCGUAAAGAGCUCGUAGGCGGUUUGUCGCGUCUGCCGUGAAAGUCCGGGGCUCAACUCCGGAUCUGCGGUGGGUACGGGCAGACUAGAGUGAUGUAGGGGAGACUGGAAUUCCUGGUGUAGCGGUGAAAUGCGCAGAUAUCAGGAGGAACACCGAUGGCGAAGGCAGGUCUCUGGGCAUUAACUGACGCUGAGGAGCGAAGCAUGGGGAGCGAACAGG